UCGGUGACAGGUGGUGCAUGGUUGUCGUCAGCUCGUGUCGUGAGAUGUUGGGUUAAGUCCCGCAACGAGCGCAACCCCUAUUGUUAGUUGCCAUCAUUCAGUUGGGCACUCUAGCGAGACUGCCGGUAAUAACCGGAGGAAGUGGGAUGACGUCAAAUCAUCAUGCCCCUUAUGACCUGGGCUACACACGUGCUACAAUGGUUGGUACAACGAGUUGCGAGUCGGUGACGGCGAGCUAAUCUCUUAAAGCCAAUCUCAGUUCGGAUUGUAGGCUGCAACUCGCCUACAUGAAGUCGGAAUCGCUAGUAAUCGCGGAUCAGCACGCCGCGGUGAAUACGUUCCCGGGCCUU
rnacentral:rRNA from 1 species